rnacentral:tRNA from 1 species
UGACUCAGUUGGUAGAGCACGGCGCUUGCAAUGCCAGGGUUGUGGGUUCAAUUCCCAC